AGCAAACUGGUCUGUUACAAACUUUGCUGCAGUUUCCUGAGAAAAACUGGAUGAGUUUUUUUCUUGUCUUGCAUGUCCUUGGGAACUUGAAGCUGUAAGCAUGUGGCCAUGUUUUCUCUUUUCACAAUGGCAUCCUGUGUUCAGGGUUCAAUUUCUGCCUCGGGAUGAAUUUUUUUUAUCUUCUUCUGUACACAAUUGGAGAAACUGAUUAUUUUACGAAGACUUUGAUGGAAUGGUAUACUCUCCUUUAAGGAAUCAAACUUGACUUGCCAAGUCAAUAAAAGCCCCUUGGAGAAAUGGCCUCAGACCUUUGCUACAACAGUCCCUGUACGUGAUUUCUGACCUGUGGUAAGUAAAUAAUGUCACCUUCUAACAGGUCCAGGAGCCCCAAGUUAUCUUGGGACCCCAAGAGGAGAGGAAUUUACUAAACUCAUAGGUAUUUGAGGGUACAAACCCAUGGUAGGGCUCAGCUCAAAAAGAGUCUUAUCUAAGAUUCCUUCUAAGAAACAAAGUUUCAUCAAAGCCAGUGUUAAAAGUCUAUGUGAAAAAUAAUUAUUCUUGCUGUACUUUAUACAAAUAAUCAGGCCAAGUAUAAUAAAGCAAAUUAGUCUCACUAUGACUUAUCUUUAGUGAAAAUGGAAAACAGGAGAGAGAAUAUUAUGUUUCAAGACCUAUGUUACACUUGUUAUUAAAUUCUAGUCUCAUCAGUUGUUAAGUUUGUUUCUGCAGUUUAGGCUAACCCUGCUUCUUCCUGUGAACCAACCGGUGAUCUUUGUUUGCUACUCUGAAAAAACAAGACAUUUUGGUAAUGUAAAAAUCUGGAUCAGUAUUCUAAUUCUGGGCAUGUAUUGGAAUUGGCUAACCACCUCAUGUCAGCUUGGUUCCAGUAGUUGCCCAGUUCAUGAAGAGCCUUAUAAUUUAGUUUAUUUGGGAUAAUUUUGCUUAUUUUGUUAUAUUGCUGUUUUACUCUUUGUGUAGGAAUGCAGACUAAGCUUGCUAAAUGUUUUCUUAAACUAAAUACUUAUUAGUCUUUCAGAUAUCACCUUUCAUCAGGACUCAAGAGUUCUGAAUGGCCUUCAUCAUACUGAGGCUUUCUGACUGAGCUCCUCUCUACCCUGAACACAGAGACCCUAAUAGUUAGGCAGGAAUAUCAUUUCCCCUAUUCAGCCUGAAGAAGUUACAGAAGAUGAAUCUUUGUCCCCCUACAACCUUAGGAUUAAGGGUUCUCUUAUAAAAGGGAGGGAGGAAAUGUCUAAGACAUGUGAACUAGAGCAACUUCAUCCUGAAGAGGAGCUGAGUAAAAUAAGGCUGAAACCUACUGGGCUGCAUUCUUAGACAGUUAAGGCAUUCUAAGUCACAGGAUGAGAUAGGAGGUUAGCACAAGAUACAGGUCCUUAAAACCUUGCUGAUAAAACAGUUUGCAGUAAAGAAACCAGCCAAAACCCACCAAAACCAAUAUGGCCACGAGAGUGACCUCUGGUCAUCCUCACUGCUACACUCCCACCAGCGCCAUAAUAGUUCACAAAUACCAUAGCAACAUCAGGAUGUAACCCUGCAUAAAUAAUGCACCCCUUGUUUAGCAUAUGAUCAAGAAAUAACCAUAAUAAUAGGCAACCAGCAGCCCUCAGGGAUGCUCUGUCUUUGGAGUAGCCAUUCUCUUAUUCCUCUACUUUCUUAAUAAACUUGCUUUCACUUUAC
rnacentral:lncRNA from 10 species